rnacentral:rRNA from 1 species
GAUGAACGCUGGCGGCGUGCUUAACACAUGCAAGUCGAACGGUGAAGGGACCGGUUUUUGCUGGUUCUGGAUGAGUGGCGAACGGGUGAGUAACACGUGAGUAACCUGCCCCCUUCUUCUGGAUAACCGCAUGAAAGUGUGGCUAAUACGGGAUAUUCUGCGCCUGCUGCAUGGUGGGUGUGGGAAAGAUAUUGUUUCGGUGGGGGAUGGGCUCGCGGCCUAUCAGCUUGUUGGUGGGGUGAUGGCCUACCAAGGCGGUGACGGGUAGCCGGCCUGAGAGGGUGGACGGUCACACUGGGACUGAGACACGGCCCAGACUCCUACGGGAGGCAGCAGUGGGGAAUAUUGCACAAUGGGCGCAAGCCUGAUGCAGCGACGCCGCGUGAGGGAUGGAGGCCUUCGGGUUGUAAACCUCUUUCGCCAGUGAAGCAAGCCUGUCCCUUUUGUGGGUGGGUUGACGGUAGCUGGAUAAGAAGCGCCGGCUAACUACGUG